GGGCCAGUAGCUCAGUUGGUAAGAGCGCGGUUCUUAUAAAGCCGAGGUCGGUGGUUCGAGUCCACCCUGGCCCA
rnacentral:tRNA from 1 species